CCGUUCAGUUCCUUCACCUCCCUGGAGGAGGACUCCCGGGGAAAGAGCAUGCCGCCGUCCAGCGGGAACACCGUGUCAAACACGGCGAGCAGCCACAAAACACGGAGCACCGCGAAGCUUCCAGGGCAGACUGUGGUGUCCAUGAUCAUUGCUGGGUGAAAGUGAUGCUGCUGACUAAACCCUGGAAUACACUUUCUGUGCCCCAGCAGAUGUAAAUUUCAUCAUUAGAUGAGCUGGUCAUCACCUCUAGGAUAAACUGGAAACCUACGACUUCAGAUUUACCUGCCUGCUCACCCUCUCGACUCAUCGGCAGAUCCCAAUCUGGCAGCAGCUCCUUCCUUGGUAAAAACAUUCCAAUGAACCAUCAUUCCCACACCUCUCUGGACAAUUUUUGGAACAAACAAAUUGCCUUCCUCCGACCCGUGCAGUUACCUCAGUUCCCCCCGAGUUCCCGUGCUGCUUCCGAUUCUCCAGAUGUUGAAUAAAAGUGUUUAAACUUUCAUUCUUAGUGGUCUCAUUGGGUCCUGCAUUUGAGACAAUUCAAUCUUUAACACUAUUGUCUUGACUGAAUCCACUUUUCACUGAGUUCUGUGUACAUG